rnacentral:rRNA from 1 species
GAUUAACGCUGGCGGCGUGCAUAACACAUGCAAGUCGAACGAUGAAACUUAAAUGAUUUCUUCGGAAUGAACUUAAGUGGAUUAGUGGCGGACGGGUGAGUAACGCGUGAGUAACCUGCCUUACACAAGGGGAUAGCCGUUGGAAACGACGAAUAAUACCCUAUGAAACUAUCACUUCGCAUGAAGCGAUAGUCAAAGUGUUAGCGGUGUAAGAUGGACUUGCGUCUGAUUAGCUAGUUGGUGAGAAAAGAGCCCACCAAGGCAACGAUCAGUAGCCGGCUUGAGAGAGUGUACGGCCACAUUGGGACUGAGACACGGCCCAGACUCCUACGGGAGGCAGCAGUGGGGAAUUUUGCACAAUGGGGGAAACCCUGAUGCAGCGACGCCGCGUGAUUUAGAAGGCCUUCGGGUUGUAAAAAUCUUUUGUAUAGGAAGAAAAUGACAGUACUAUACGAAUAAGGUCCGGCUAAUUACGUG